GAUGAACGCUGGCUACAGGCUUAACACAUGCAAGUCGAGGGGAAACGCCGGGGAAGCUUGCUUCCCCGGGCGUCGACCGGCGCACGGGUGAGUAACGCGUAUCCAACCUGCCUCUGACUGAGGGAUAACCCGUCGAAAGUCGGCCUAAUACCUCAUGGCAUCGUCUGCGGGCAUCCAACGACGAUUAAAGAUUUCAUCGGUCAGAGAUGGGGAUGCGUCUGAUUAGCUUGUUGGCGGGGUAACGGCCCACCAAGGCGACGAUCAGUAGGGGUUCUGAGAGGAAGGUCCCCCACAUUGGAACUGAGACACGGUCCAAACUCCUACGGGAGGCAGCAGUGAGGAAUAUUGGUCAAUGGGCGAGAGCCUGAACCAGCCAAGUAGCGUGCAGGAUGACGGCCCUAUGGGUUGUAAACUGCUUUUAUGCUGGGAUAAAGUGAGGGACGUGUCCUUCAUUGCAGGUACCGCAUGAAUAAGGACCGGCUAAUUCCGUG
rnacentral:rRNA from 1 species